AACGAACGCUGGCGGCAUGCCUAACACAUGCAAGUCGAACGAAGCCUUCGGGCUUAGUGGCGCACGGGUGCGUAACGCGUGGGAAUCUGCCCUUGGGUUCGGAAUAACAGUUAGAAAUGACUGCUAAUACCGGAUGAUGUCUUCGGACCAAAGAUUUAUCGCCCAAGGAUGAGCCCGCGUAGGAUUAGGUAGUUGGUGGGGUAAUGGCCCACCAAGCCGACGAUCCUUAGCUGGUCCGAGAGGAUGAUCAGCCACACUGGGACUGAGACACGGCCCAGACUCCUACGGGAGGCAGCAGUGGGGAAUAUUGGACAAUGGGCGAAAGCUUGAUCCAGCAAUGCCGCGUGAGUGAUGAAGGCCUUAGGGUUGUAAAGCUCUUUUACCAGGGAUGAUAAUGACAGUACCUGGAGAAUAAGCUCCGGCUAACUCCGUGCCAGCAGCCGCGGUAUCAC
rnacentral:rRNA from 1 species